ACACUCAGGGAGUACACCAUGUGAAGACUGGACUUAAACAGCUACACCACCAGAAGCCGAGAGAGAGGCUGGAACAUAGCCUUCCCUUUGGAGGUAGCCUGGCCCGGUGGGCACUGUGAUCUCAGACUUCCAGCCUUCAGAACUACAAGCAAAGUGGAUCAGCAAAGGCUGCAGUCACCAGCAUCUUUUCCAACCUUAAUGAACUGUAUCCUCAAAAGAACACUAUCAGACUGGUAAGACAAGCAUUAUUGUCCCACUUCACAGAUGAAGAGCUUGGGGGCCCUGUGGAUGUGUAGGAGAGUCGGCCUUCCUUUUUAUAGGCC
rnacentral:lncRNA from 10 species